UCCUACAUGGUCUAGCGGUUAGGAUUCUUGGCUUUCACCCAGGCGGGCCCGGGUUCGAUUCCCGGUGUAGGAA
rnacentral:tRNA from 1 species